UACGUAGGGUGCAAGCGUUAUCCGGAAUUAUUGGGCGUAAAGAGCUCGUAGGCGGUUUGUCGCGUCUGCUGUGAAAACUGGAGGCUCAACCUCCAGCCUGCAGUGGGUACGGGCAGACUAGAGUGCGGUAGGGGAGAUUGGAAUUCCUGGUGUAGCGGUGGAAUGCGCAGAUAUCAGGAGGAACACCGAUGGCGAAGGCAGAUCUCUGGGCCGAAACUGACGCUGAGGAGCGAAAGCGUGGGGAGCAAACAGG
rnacentral:rRNA from 1 species